rnacentral:tRNA from 2 species
GCGGGUAUCGUAUAAUGGUAUUACCUGAGCUUCCCAAGCUCAUGACACGGGUUCGAUUCCCGUUAUCCGCUCCA